UACUAAUAAUAAUAAUAAUAAUAAUAAUAAUAAUAACUUUUUCAUAGCCUGCCCUGUCUCCCCGAGAGGACUGAUUAUUCCUACGACUACCAAGGCUGGAUGGCCAUCUGUUGGGAGUGCUCCCAAGUUUUUCCAACAGACCUCACAACCUCUGAGGAUGCCUGCCAUGGAUGUGGGUGAAACGUCAGGAGAGAAUGCUACUGUAUUGUAGCAGUAUGGAACAACUGAGAAUGGUGCAAUAUCGCUGCCUUGCAGCAUUUUAAUUUUUGUAUACUUUUUAUUAUGUUUUAAUUGUUUGUUUUAUAGUAUACUAGCUGUGCCCAGCCACGCGUUGCUGUGGCUUAUGGGAAUCCUUUGUUGGCCAGGUGGAAUAGCAGUGAAUAGCCUUGCAGCCUCAAAGCCUGGCCGUUUUCUGGAGUAGCUGGAGCUGUUUGUUGUAUGAAUGUAGAGGCAUGGAUGAGGGGUUGUGGUGCCAAGUUUAGUGUUUCUGGGAUGUGUCGUUUUGUUAUUUUGUCCUAGGCCGAAAUUUCAUUACUCUUUUAUAUAUAUAGAUUUGUUGUUGGCCCUCGUGGCAGAAUGUAAGCCGCUCUGAGUCCCCUCGGGGGAGAAGGGCGGGGUAUAAAUGCAUGUAAUAAAUAAAUAAAUAAAUACUACUGGAACAUGGCCAGACAACCCGGAAAACUCACAGCUACCCAGUGAUUGUGGCCAUGAAAGCCUUCGACAACACAUUUCUGGAUUUCAUGUAAUAAAAGCAAUCUACUCCUAACAA